rnacentral:rRNA from 1 species
AACGAACGCUGGCGGCAGGCUUAACACAUGCAAGUCGAACGCCCCGCCAGGGGAGUGGCAGACGGGUGAGUAACGCGUGGGAACAUACCCUUUCCUGCGGAAUAGCUCUGGGAAACUGGAAUUAAUACCGCAUACGCCCUACGGGGGAAAGAUUUAUCGGGGAAGGAUUAGCCCGCGUUGGAUUAGCUAGUUGGUGGGGUAAAGGCCUACCAAGGCGACGAUCCAUAGCUGGUCUGAGAGGAUGAUCAGCCACAUUGGGACUGAGACACGGCCCAAACUCCUACGGGAGGCAGCAGUGGGGAAUAUUGGACAAUGGGCGCAAGCCUGAUCCAGCCAUGCCGCGUGAGUGAUGAAGGCCUUAGGGUUGUAAAGCUCUUUCACCGAUGAAGAUAAUGACGGUAGUCGGAGAAGAAGCCCCGGCUAACUUCGUGCCAGCCGCCGCAGUAAUAC